rnacentral:ncRNA from 12 species
GCUAUGGCCGAGUGGUCUAAGGCGAAACGUUUAGGCCGUUUUCUUAGUUGGCGUGGGUUCGAAUCCCACUGGCA